rnacentral:sRNA from 2 species
CGGUCGCUCACGUCAACUCCCAAGGGCAGGGGUGGGGGACCCACUUCCGGCGCGUGACGGCCUACGGGGGCCUGACCUGAACGCGUCUCCGGGGUGAAGCCGCGUCCCGCGGCCGGGCACCGAUCGCCCGAACCCGACAGCUCACCUCGCCGGCGGUGAUCGGGAGAUCAU